ACGCUGGCGGCACGCCUAACACAUGCAAGUCGAACGAAGUAGCAAUACUUAGUGGCAGACGGGUGAGUAACAUGUGGGUAUCUGCCCUUUGGCCUGGAAUAACACGAGGAAACUUGUGCUAAUACCGGAUAAGUCUUUACGGAGAAAGCCUUAUGCACCAUUGGAUGAGCCCGCACUUGAUUAGUUUGUUGGUGGGGUAAUGGCCUACCAAGACUGUGAUCAAUAGCUGAUUUGAGAGGAUGAUCAGCCACAUUGGGACUGAGACACGGCCCAAACUCCUACGGGAGGCAGCAGUGGGGAAUCUUGCACAAUGGAGGAAACUCUGAUGCAGCGAUGCCGCGUGAGUGAAGAAGGCCCUUGGGUUGUAAAGCUCUUUCGUCGGGGAAGAAAAUGACUGUACCCGAAUAAGAAGGUCCGGCUAACUUCGUGCCAGCAGCCGCGGUAAUACGAAGGGACCUAGCGUAGUUCGGAAUUACUGGGCUUAAAGAGUUCGUAGGUGGUUGAAAAAGUUAGUGGUGAAAUCCCAGAGCUUAACUCUGGAACUGCCAUUAAAACUUUUCAGCUAGAGUAUGAUAGAGGAAAGCAGAAUUUCUAGUGUAGAGGUGAAAUUCGUAGAUAUUAGAAAGAAUACCAAUUGCGAAGGCAGCUUUCUGGAUCAUUACUGACACUGAGGAACGAAAGCAUGGGUAGCGAAGAGGAUUAGAUACCCUCGUAGUCCAUGCCGUAAACGAUGUGUGUUAGACGUUGGAAAUUUAUUUUCAGUGUCGCAGCGAAAGCGAUAAACACACCGCCUGGGGAGUACGACCGCAAGGUUAAAACUCAAAUGAAUUGACGGGGACCCGCACAAGUAGUGGAGCAUGUGGUUUAAUUCGAAGAUACGCGCAGAACCUUACCAACACUUGACAUGUUCGUCGCGACUCUAAGAGAUUAGAGUUUUCGGUUCGGCCGGACGAAACACAGGUGCUGCAUGGCUGUCGUCAGCUCGUGUCGUGAGAUGUUGGGUUAAGUCCCGCAACGAGCGCAACCCUCACUUUUAGUUGCCAUCAUUAAGUUGGGCACUCUGAAAGAACUGCCAGUGAUAAGCUGGAGGAAGGUGGGGAUGACGUCGAGUCCUCAUGGCCCUUACGUGUUGGGCUACACACGUGCUACAAUGGUAUCUACAACAGGAAGCAAGGCUGCGAGGUCAAGCAAAUCCUUAAAAGAUACCUCAGUUCGGAUUGCACUCUGCAACUCGAGUGCAUGAAGCUGGAAUUACUAGUAAUCGUGGAUCAGCGUGCCACGGUGAAUGCGUUCCCGGGUCUUGUACACACCGCCCGUCACACCAUGGGAGUUGGUUCUACCUUAAGGCAAGGUUUCAAACCCUUGACCACGGUAUAGUCAGCGACUGGGGUG
rnacentral:rRNA from 1 species